rnacentral:rRNA from 1 species
GACAGAGGUGCCAAGCGUUAGGCGGAAUCACUGGGCUUAAAGCGUGUGUAGGCGGAUGUCUAAGUACCUUGUGAAAUCCCACGGCUCAACCGUGGAACUGCUCGGCAUACUGGCGGUCUUGAGCCAGCUAGGGGCUACCGGAACAAAUGGUGGAGCGGUGAAAUGCGUAGAUAUCAUUUGGAACGCCAAUGGUGAAAACAGGUAGCUGGGGCUGUGCUGACGCUGAGACACGAAAGCCAGGGGAGCGAACGGG